CAGUCGCCGCGGUAAAACGGAGGGUGCAAGCGUUAAUCGGAAUUACUGGGCGUAAAGCGCACGCAGGCGGUCUGUCAAGUCAGAUGUGAAAUCCCCGGGCUUAACCUGGGAACUGCAUUUGAAACUGUCAGGCUGGAGUCUUGUAGAGGGGGGUGGAAUUCCAGGUGUAGCGGUGAAAUGCGUAGAGAUCUGGAGGAAUACCGGUGGCGAAGGCGGCCCCCUGGACAAAGACUGACGCUCAGGUGCGAAAGCGUGGGGAGCAAACAGGAUUAGAUACCCCUGUAGUCCCUGUCUCUUAUAC
rnacentral:rRNA from 1 species